CAAUAGCGUAUAUUAAAGUUGUUGCAGUUAAAAAGCUCGUAGUUGGAUUUGUGGCGUGCGGUGGGUUCCGGGCACUUGUUGUCUGAGUAACUUGCUGUUGCCAUCCUUGGGUGGAACCUGUGUGGCAUUAGGUUGUCGUGCAGGGGAUGCCCAUCAUUUACUGUGAAAAAAUUAGAGUGUUCAAAGCAGGCUUAUGCCGUUGAAUAUAUUAGCAUGGAAUAAUGAGAUAGGACUUUUUUGCUAUUUUGUUGGUUUGCGCAAAGAGGUAAUGAUUAACAGGGACAGUUGGGGGUAUUCGUAUUCCAUUGUCAGCGGUGAAAUUCUUGGAUUUUUGGAAGACGAACUACUGCGAAAGCAUUUACCAAGGAUGUUUUCAUUA
rnacentral:rRNA from 1 species